GCCUGGGUGGCUCAGCGGGUUAAGCGUCUGACUCCGGCUCAGGUUAUGAUUUCGCAAUUUGUGGGUUCGAGCCCCACAUCGGGCU
rnacentral:tRNA from 1 species